AUGGUGAUCAAUGCUACGCCACCAGCGCAUACAGCCAGCGCCCUAGCUAAAGAGGAGCUGAGCUGGGUCGCUCCUGCUACAGGAUGGACCAAGUUGAACACGGACGGAAGCUUCAUACCGGCUACAGGUAUGGCAGGAGGUGGGAUGAUCCUCCGGGACACUCAGGGAAACAUCAUAUUUAGCGCUUGCCGUGAACUCCGUACUUGUGGUAACGCGCUGGGCGCCGAGCUCACGGCGUGUAGGGAGGGGCUGGAGCUAGCCCUCCACCGGACGACGCUGCCAAUUUCGGUAGAACUAGAUAGUUCUGAGGCAGUGUCGCUGAUCAUAGCAAAUUCCGAUGAUAGAUCAGUAUAUCACUUCGUGAUCCAGGAGAUUAAAAGCUUGGCCUCAACUGAGGAUAGGGAGAUUUCUUUUACUCUUUGUCGUCCUUCGGAGAAUAAGGUUAGCCAUGAACUUGCUGCUUAUGGCCGUAGUACCUCCAGAACCGCAGUGUGGUUGCACUUGGGGUUAGAUUUCAUUGUAAUCUUGGUUGUGGCUGAGAGGCCCCCCGUGAGUAAUGAAAAUAUUCUUUACCCCCGCAUAAAAAAAAAGAAUACCGUGCUUGUGGUCGUUCGGGCUACCGCACGUCCCGCCCGAACGGCCUGCCAGCUGGGCUACGUAGGCAUGUGUCUUCCGAGCUGGGCCUUCAUGGUGAACCUGCAAAAAGUAAAGACUAAAUACCAACAGUAA
rnacentral:rRNA from 1 species